rnacentral:misc_RNA from 1 species
GGAAGUAAAAGUCGCAACAAGGUUUCCGUAGGUGAACCUGCGGAAGGAUCAUUGAUGAAUCUAUCCCUCGUCUCGAUACUCUCUGUAAAGAGAGUAAAGAGAUGGGUGGAACCAUCUAUCCCGCAAGGGAUGGGUGAAAUACCCUGUCGAAACGUAUCUUUCUUUUCUUCCCUUGGGUCUCCAAGGAGUGCUCCAAGGGGAGAGGAGGCAACAACGACUCUCGAUCGUCGACUAACAAGAAUCAUAAUUAAAAUCAACUUUUAACAAUGGAUCUCUUGGCUCUU